AGCAGUCCCAAAAUAUUAGUCAAUGCUCGCAAGAGUGAACUAGCUAACUGAAAUCAAAGGUGUGUCACUUUUGAUAAGGUAAAGGAAAAUAAAUGAUAUUACUUUACUAUUAGUGUCGUCCAAGUACUCGUGCCAGAAGACUCGGUAAGGCGAGAGACGCAAACGUUAGUCGUCCUAAUCAGGCGUAAAGGGUUUGUAGGCGGCUUUAAGAAUGGAUUUCUUCAAAAUAACACUACUCUUUUUUAGGAGUAGCGAAAAUUCGACACUGAGCGGAAGAAAAAAAUCAAUUAAAGCUAGAAUCUAAUAGAGGUUAAAUUAAAUAAUACUUGGAUUAAGGUUGGUAUCUACAAAAACCAAGCGGAAUACUAACGGCGAAGGCUUUUUUCCAUUAAAGAUUGACGCUGAGAAACUAAGGUGAGGACCGAAAAAAGGAUUAGAGACCCUCGUAUUCCUCACUGUCAACGAUGAAUGGUAGUUACUAGAUAAAGGAUAUAAAAUUUGUAAAAAAAGAGUUAUACAAAAUUUCACUAUCCUCUUUUCAAAGUCUAGAGACGAUGUUAACACGUAAACCAUUCCGCCUUGUGAGUACGACUGCAAAGUUGAAAACAAAAAAAUUAGUCGGUUUCGGAGCAAACGAAGUGAAGCAUGUUAUUUAAUUC
rnacentral:rRNA from 1 species